rnacentral:rRNA from 1 species
GACGAACGCUGGCGGCGUGCUUAACACAUGCAAGUCGAACGGAAAGGCCCUGCUUUUGUGGGGUGCUCGAGUGGCGAAAGGGUGAGUAACACGUGAGUAACCUGCCCUUGACUUUGGGAUAACUUCAGGAAACUGGGGCUAUUACCCGAUAUGAACUCCUGCUGCAUGGUGGGUGUUGGAAAGUUACGGCGUUUGGGGAUGGACUCGAGGCUCAUCAUCUUGUUGGUGGGGUAGUGGCUUACCAGGGCUUUGACGGGUAGCCGGCCUGAGAGGGUGACCGGCCACAUUGGGACUGAGAUACGGCCCAGACUGCAACGGGAGGCAGCAGUGGGGAAUAUUGCACAAUGCGCGGAAGCCUGAUGCAGCAACGCCGCGUGCGGGAUGACGGCCUGCGGGUUGUAACCCGCUUUCGCCUGUGACGAAGCGUGAGUGACGGUAACGGGUAAAGAAGCAACGGCUAACUACGUG